UGGGGAAUUUUGGACAAUGGGCGAAAGCCUGAUCCAGCAAUGCCGCGUGUGUGAAGAAGGCCUUCGGGUUGUAAAGCACUUUUGUCCGGAAAGAAAUCCUUGGCUCUAAUACAGUCGGGGGAUGACGGUACCGGAAGAAUAAGCACCGGCUAACUACGUGCCAGCAGCCGCGGUAAUACGUAGGGUGCAAGCGUUAAUCGGAAUUACUGGGCGUAAAGCGUGCGCAGGCGGUUUGCUAAGACCGAUGUGAAAUCCCCGGGCUCAACCUGGGAACUGCAUUGGUGACUGGCAGGCUAGAGUAUGGCAGAGGGGGGUAGAAUUCCACGUGUAGCAGUGAAAUGCGUAGAGAUGUGGAGGAAUACCGAUGGCGAAGGCAGCCCCCUGGGCCAAAUACUGACGCUCAUGCACGAAAGCGUGGGGAGCAAAACAGGAUUAGAUACCCUGGUAGUCCACGCCCUAAACGAUGUCAACUAGUUGUGGGGAUUCAUUUCCUUAGUAACGUAGCUAACGCGUGAAGUUGACCGCCUGGGGAGUACGGUCGCAAGAUUAAAACUCAAAGGAAUUGACGGGGUCAUAGCUGUUUCCU
rnacentral:rRNA from 1 species